ACAUACAACUAUCUCCCCAGGCUGCAAGAGAACAGGUGAUGUGCGCACUUUGAAAUGUGUCUCUCUUGGCUUCCUGCAGGUCAGAGGAGGCCACCGAGGAGCCCGGUGUGAGAGAUUAUUUUGAGGGUAGUUGGACCCACGAUCCAAACGGCAGCUGGGGGAGCAGCUCAUACUGGGAGUGCGCCAGCAGUGAGCCUGAAUCAAUCAGGCGGAAUCCCACGGAGGAAGAGGAGGAGGAGGAGGAGCAGGAGGCGGCGGAGCAGGAGGAGGAAGCAGCGGCGGCAGCAGAGGACGCAACCACCUGGAGGGGACAGUUCAUCAACUGUACCCUCCAGGUGGUCAACAUCCAGGUUU